rnacentral:rRNA from 1 species
CGGUUAAGCAUCUUCGGAUGUGUAUAAAGUGGCGNNNGGCUGAGUAACACGUGGGCAACCUGCCCUUUGCACUGGGAUAGCCUCGGGAAACCGAGGUUAAUACCGGAUACUCCAUAUUUGUCGCAUGGCGAAUAUGGGAAAGCUCCGGCGGCAAAGGAUGGGCCCGCGGCCUGUUAGCUAGUUGGUGGGGUAGUGGCCUACCAAGGCAAUGAUGGGUAGCCGGGUUGAGAGACCGACCGGCCAGAUUGGGACUGAGACACGGCCCAGACUCCUACGGGAGGCAGCAGUGGGGAAUCUUGCACAAUGGGCGAAAGCCUGAUGCAGCGACGCCGCGUGCGGGAUGAAGGCCUUCGGGUUGUAAACCGCUUUCAGCAGGGACGAGGCCGCAAGGUGACGGUACCUGCAGAAGAAGCCCCGGCUAACUACGUGCCAGCAGCCGCGGUAAUACGUAGGGGGCAAGCGUUAUCCGGAUUCAUUGGGCGUAAAGCGCGCGUAGGCGGUCUGUUAGGUCAGGAGUUAAAUCUGGGGGCUCAACCCCUAUCCGCUCCUGAUACCGGCAGGCUUGAGUCUGGUAGGGGAAGAUGGAAUUCCAAGUGUAGCGGUGAAAUGCGCAGAUAUUUGGAAGAACACCGGUGGCGAAGGCGGUCUUCUGGGCCAUGGCUGACG